CCUAGGUUACAUUUUUCAGGAUUUAGUCACUCCAAUGGAAUCUCACAACUGUCCUCCCUACGGUCAAACGACUUGCACAAACCACUUGCACUAGUUUGAACUCUCCACUCCAGCAAGGCGUGUCCUAGCCCAGUCUCCUGAGCUCAGCUGUCCUCCGCCAUUACCAAGCACCGCAAAUGCUGCCACCAAAGCUCCAGGGGCCCCUCCCCGGGGCAUUUCCACCUCAAUCCCACGCUUCUCUUGGCUUCAGAUCUCAGCUGCCAGAUUCCUCUUCUCCUCAAGACUGCAACUGACCUGAGCUAACAUCCAUGCCCAUCUUCCUCUAUUUUGUAUGUGGGAUGCCUGCCACAGCAUGGCUUGCCAAGCGGUGCCAUGUCCGCACCCGGGAUCCGAACCGGCAAACCCCAGGCUACCGAAGCGGAACGUGCACAUUCAACUGCUGCACCACCGGGCCCUGGUGCUUGCACUUCUGAUUAUUGACUAUCAGGAAGUCCCACCUGAGAGCUAACUCUCUGAUGAUAGUUUGAGCCCAUUUCCUGUUUCAUUGGGUCCUGGAAAUGUGAUAAGGCUUUGGCCAACUGCCAGCAGACUGGCUGGUCCCAAUGCCAAUUUGGGGAUAUGAAGGGUGUGAGUCCUAUUAUGUAAGUAGCGUUUCAGAAUGCACCAGAGUGGAAACAAUAGUCCUCAUUUCACCUGGAUUCACUCUAACUUUCUCCCUUGUACCAAGCAUCCUGGCCUGCCAAGGCCACAGUACGAGUAAGACAUUCCCGGAGGAACGUUAUUACUCAAGGGCAGUGAGACCCAGAGACACGUGGAAGGGAAGUGGCUGGGUGUCCAGCUCCAUGCUCUGCAGCCUCCACGAAUAGGCUGGUUUCUUUAAGGCCUUUCUUGAGGGCUAAUGAAAAACAAGUUGGAGCCAUGGUGUGGCUGGGGUGGGGGCAUUUGCAGAGCAGAGUUUAUAGGCACUUGCGUUUUCUUAACAGCUCCCUCCUCACACAUUCCUCUGCAUUUUUCCCUUUUAUUAAUGUGGCAUCCUUCCCAGGCCACUUUAUGGGACCGUGUGUGUUUUUACUUAUGCCCUGAUCGGGUUUGAUCAUGUCUCACCCUGUGAAGACCUCCAGAUCUUGUUCAAGGCCGCCCCCGCACCUCCUGCCUGGGCACGGGCAUUUCAGACCCUGAAGGACUCUUGGGCUCAUCUCUCAAUCGAAUCCUGAGGGCUCCACUUUAUUUUCGACAACACUAGGCACUUUUCUGUGUGAGGCUCGCACCUCAUUUGGAUUCCAAAUAAUACAACCCAGUUUGAUUACACACCCAAAUCCGAAAUGACUUCUGGCUCUUGCCCCAAAAUCAAAACUGCCCCAGAGGGUGAAGAAGAAGAUUUGCCACAACUGAAGAUUUUCAAAGGGAUGUUUGCAAGCCCUGAAGCCAUUGCCAAAGAGGGACUCUAAGACUGUUUGAUGGAACCCAGCUUUCCAAGGGGCCUGCUUUCAAAGGCAUGGCAUGCAUUUUUGGAUAGUCAAGCUUUGGCAUGUUUAUUAAAAAAGACACUCAUGUUACUUUCAGGAACUCUGCUCUUAGCCUUUCUUUUUUCUCUAGACUAUCAGUUCCCAGAGGGCCAAGACUGAGGUUUGGGAAAUUGACUUCCUGUCUUUGAGCUCAGUUUUAUCAACGUUUCCCCAUAUGGGUCUCCUGGUAUCUGGAAGGUGGCUCGACUUCACUUAGGCAUCAAGCAGCAGGCAUGGUGACAAUCCUGUGAUCUUUGAAAACCUGCUCCCCGUCUCGAAGCUGCAGUUUCUUCCCCUGUGAAAUGAGGAAAGAAUACAUAUUCUGCAGGGUUGUGAGAACUAAGUGAAGUCAUGUCUGUAAGACGCCUGGCGUGUUGGAGGCACUCCGCAAGUGGUGGCAAUUUUUGCUACAAAGGAGGUGACUGCCUGUGGGCUACAGUCUCAAACAGCCGUGCUUAUGUGGUUAGAUGCAGAGGACACACAGACCACAAAAUAAAUCAGGAAGACACCAGUGCUCAGCGCCCAAGAGCAAAACAAACGAAUCCUGGAGUGACGCCCAGCACAACGUGCCAGUGGGUCUUAUGCUAAGAGGGGGAGAAACAGCACAGAGUCCACCAUUCCUGCAACUUGUGCCCACGGCAGCAGAGCAAGUGGAUAAUAACUCUCUCAGAAUAAUAAUAAUAAUAAUAAUAAUCACAUCAGUCUCGAGAUCUGUCUAAACAGAGCACUCCAAGCAGCUUACUCCCAGUCAGGAAGAGUUGGUAUAUGAGCUGAAACCUCUCUGCCAGCCCAAAUUUGAUUGGUUGUCUGACUCCAAGAAUACCAAGCUAAAAGGACCAUCACCAUUACCGACCGUCCCAACGUCCUCCUGGCCUCCUGGAUCUGCAGGACAAGGUUGGCCCAUGUUUCCAAGAGGAGACUAGGACUGCCCUUCACUUAGGAGGGUGGCUCGGAGCCCACUUCUGCCCUCCCUACCGCUGGUCUCCUCCUUCGGGUGUCUUCAGAAGAGACUUCUGUUGAAGAGGAGAUUCAUUCAUCAGCAGAUGAGCCAUUUUCAUGUUUAGACCAAACCUCCAGCCAAAACAAACAAACAAACAAAGUUCCUAUCAAGACAAGUCAGUAUGUUGGCUUUACUCUCAGAGCCUUGCCUGGAUGUCAGGAUCCUUUGAUGGUGACCUCCGACCUGGGGAGCUCCGGAAGGCUUUGAGGUGCCAUUCCACUGACAUUCCACUCUGGGAGGCUCUGCCUCACGCCUAACGCACCUGCCAGCAAUUAAAGGUCCCCUCCCCAGCGACCUGGGCUCGCCUGGGGGGCCCAGGGUCUCUUACCUUUCAAGAGUCCCGAGCCACCCGGCUGUAUGGGUUCCCACAACCUCCUCCCUUCCCUUCACAGCAGUCACGUCCCUACCCCGUUAAUAACCUGCCUUCUUCAGGAAGUGAAGUCCGACCAGGGAUAGCACGACACGCCGAAAGAACAGAGAACUGGGGACACAGGACCCACAUUCCAGCUCUGCCUCAGCCGCCAACUUGCUCUAGGACUGUGGCAAGUCUCUCCCGUUCUCCAACACCACUUCCUGGCGACAGUGCUGGACUGGAUCAGUGUUUCUUAGAGUUUACCCCGAGAUGUCCCAUAUCAGAAUCCUCUGGAAGACUCAUUAAAAAUCCAGGCUCAAACUCUCCACCCCAGAUCCACUAUGACAGAAUUUCUUUUCUUUUCUUUUCUUUCUUUUUUUUUUUUUUUUGAGGAAGAUUAGCCCUGAGCUUACUGCUGCCAAUCCUCCUCUUUUUACUGAGGAAGACUGGCCCUGAGCUAACAUCCAUGCCCAUCUUCCUCUACUUAUAUGUGGGACGCCUACCACAGCAUGGCAUGCCAAGCAGUGCCAUGUCCUCACCCAGGAUCCAAACUGGUGAACCCUGGGCAGCCGAGAAGCAGAAUGCGCAAACUUAACCACUGCGCCACCGGGCCGGCCUCUAUGGCAGAAUUUCUGGAGACGUGGACAAAGGAGUCCAAAGGACAUGUGAUGAAAAGUCCUCCCCGACACAGGGCCGGCCACCGAGUGCCCUUCCCGGUCCCACGGCCCUGUGGAUCCUCCCAGACUUGCUCCCUGCGUGUCUCCUUCAGACAGACGAAUACCUUUCCCACGGAAACAAACUGGGCUGUUCUGUGACUUCCUGCAAGAGCGCAAGAGGGGAAAGUACCUAAUUCCAGCCCCAGGUAGAACAGCAAAGUCGUCUCUCCGUCGCUAGGUGCACAUGAGCGGUCGUCCUUGGCACAGUGCUCCCAUCCUGAGCAUUUCGCACAUU
ensembl:lncRNA